AUGGCAGAGGAGAUAGCCUGGAUAAACACGAAGGUUUCAGAGGAGGCUGAGUCCCAGCAAUGGGAUACUUCAAAAGGAGACCAAGUUUCCCAGAAUAGUUUGCCGGCUGAGCAGGGAUCUCCACGGAUGGCAGGAACCAUGGAAACAAGUGAAAUGGUCAAUGGUGCUGCUGAGCAAAGGACAAGCUCCAAAGAGUCCAGUCCUGUUCCCUCUCCCACCUCGGACCGAAAGGCCAAAUCUGCACUUCCGGCCCAGAGUGCUGCCACCCUGCCAGCCAGGACCCUGGAGACGCCCGCUACCCAGAUGGAAGGCUUCCUCAGUCAGAAACAUGAGUGGGAGGCCCAUAAUAAGAAAGCCUCGAGCAGGUCCUGGCACAAUGUAUAUUGUGUCAUAAAUAACCAAGAAAUGGGCUUCUAUAAACAUGCCAAGAGUGCUGCUUCCGGCAUCCCCUACCACAGCGAGGUCCCUGUGAGUUUGAAAGAGGCCAUCUGCGAAGUGGCCCUUGAUUACAAGAAGAAGAAGCACGUGUUCAAGCUAAGACUAAGUGAUGAAAACGAGUACCUCUUCCAAGCCAAAGAUGAUGAGGAAAAGCACUUAGCUUUCUGUAUCUUGAAAGAUCAAGAUAACAGCUACAAUGUUCUUGAUGACAAGUUCUCAGAAGUUACCCACACAAUCACAAAUCCACUGUACUCUAUCACACCAGUGUUCAGGAAGGGACUGUGA